AUUGAACGCUGGCGGCAGGCCUAACACAUGCAAGUCGAACGGUAACAGGAAGCAGCUUGCUGCUUCGCUGACGAGUGGCGGACGGGUGAGUAAUGUCUGGGAAACUGCCUGAUGGAGGGGGAUAACUACUGGAAACGGUAGCUAAUACCGCAUAACGUCGCAAGACCAAAGAGGGGGACCUUAGGGCCUCUUGCCAUCGGAUGUGCCCAGAUGGGAUUAGCUAGUAGGUGGGAUAACGGCUCACCUAGGCGACGAUCCCUAGCUGGUCUGAGAGGAUGACCAGCCACACUGGAACUGAGACACGGUCCAGACUCCUACGGGAGGCAGCAGUGGGGAAUAUUGCACAAUGGGCGCAAGCCUGAUGCAGCCAUGCCGCGUGUAUGAAGAAGGCCUUCGGGUUGUAAAGUACUUUCAGCGGGGAGGAAGGGAGUAAAGUUAAUACCUUUGCUCAUUGACGUUACCCGCAGAAGAAGCACCGGCUAACUCCGUG
rnacentral:rRNA from 1 species